UACGAGGGGGGCAAGCGUUGUUCGGAUUUAUUGGGCGUAAAGGGUGCGUAGGCGGUUUGGCAAGUCUGAUGUGAAAUCUAUGGGCUCAACCCAUAGUCUGCAUCAGAAACUGCCGGGCUUGAGUACGGGAGAGGUGAGUGGAAUUUCCGGUGUAGCGGUGAAAUGCGUAGAUAUCGUAAGGAAGACCAGUGGCGAAGGCGGGUCUCUGGACAGUUCCUGACGCUGAGGCACGAAGGCCAGGGGAGCAAACGGG
rnacentral:rRNA from 1 species